GAGUUUGAUCAUGGCUCAGAUUGAACGCUGGCGGUAUGCUUAACACAUGCAAGUCGAACGGUAACAUAGAGAGCUUGCUCUCUGAUGACGAGUGGCGGACGGGUGAGUAAUGCGUAGGAAUCUACCUAGUGGUGGGGGACAACUUGGGGAAACUCAAGCUAAUACCGCAUAAGUCCUAUGGGAGAAAGGGGGCCUCUUCUUGAAAGCUCUCGCUAUUAGAUGAGCCUACGUCGGAUUAGCUUGUUGGUGGGGUAAUGGCCUACCAAGGCGACGAUCCGUAGCUGGUCUGAGAGGACGAUCAGCCACACUGGGACUGAGACACGGCCCAGACUCCUACGGGAGGCAGCAGUAGGGAAUAUUGGACAAUGGGCGAAAGCCUGAUCCAGCAAUGCCGCGUGUGUGAAGAAGGCCUGCGGGUUGUAAAGCACUUUCAGUUGGGAAGAAAAGCAUUAGGCUAAUAUCCUAAUAUUUUGACGUUACCAACAGAAGAAGCACCGGCUAACUCUGUGCCAGCAGCCGCGGUAAUACG
rnacentral:rRNA from 1 species